rnacentral:rRNA from 1 species
GGUUCGGAAUAACUCAGAGAAAUUUGAGCUAAUACCGGAUAAUGUCUUCGGACCAAAGAUUUAUCGCCAUUAGAUGGGCCCGCGUAAGAUUAGCUAGUUGGUGGGGUAAAGGCCUACCAAGGCGACGAUCUUUAGCUGGUCUGAGAGGAUGAUCAGCCACACUGGGACUGAGACACGGCCCAGACUCCUACGGGAGGCAGCAGUGGGGAAUAUUGGACAAUGGGCGAAAGCCUGAUCCAGCAAUGCCGCGUGAGUGAUGAAGGCCUUAGGGUUGUAAAGCUCUUUUACCAGGGAUGAUAAUGACAGUACCUGGAGAAUAAGCUCCGGCUAACUCCGUGCCAGCAGCCGCGGUAAUACGGAGGGAGCUAGCGUUGUUCGGAAUUACUGGGCGUAAAGCGCACGUAGGCGGCUUUUUAAGUCAGGGGUGAAAUCCCGGGGCUCAACCCCGGAACUGCCCUUGAAACUGGGAAGCUAGAAUCUUGGAGAGGCGAGUGGAAUUCCGAGUGUAGAGGUGAAAUUCGUAGAUAUUCGGAAGAACACCAGUGGCGAAGGCGACUCGCUGGACAAGUAUUGACGCUGAGGUGCGAAAGCGUG